UGUAGAACUAGUUUUAAUCCUCCUCUUCAAUGAAGUCUUUACUGAAGCAAACCUUACAUCCAUUCAAGUACUUUGGACCUCAUUCCCUGACGACAUUUGACCUGGAAUAAACAUUCCUGUGACAAAUAACCACCAGUAAACAAUUCAUUUAUAAAGAUGGACAUUAAAACUUUUUAUUUAAUAACGUUUUCCGGCCACAACAAUAAAAUUUAACAAAUAAUCACUAAAAAAAGUGACCUUCCAUUAGCUGUACAUUACAUACACUAUAGUAAAACUGGCCAAGCUUAAACCCCCACUACAACAUUCAUGUAGUGCUUCCAGCAGCAUUUCACCAAAGACAAAAACAUUAUACAUAUGUACAAAUCCACAUUGAAUCCAUCGCAAAUUUCACAUAUGUACAGCGUACGUGGCUGUGGUAAAGAUUAAAAUGUGUUUUUGUCCUUCUCUUCAGGAGUAAUAAAACGAAGCAAACAGCUAUAACCCCUUGAAUUGUUUCGAUGUUAAGACAAGAAAGAGGCUGUCAGCUCCUCAACCCGUUCAGAGCAUAAGGUGAUUGCUUCUUACUAAGCAUUCCCUGUUGGCAAAGGGUGUUUCCAGGUGAGAGAGUUAGUCAUCCCACAGGACUGAAGCUCUGUCUCCAAACUGCACGGCUGCUGCCAAAAUGCCACCCUAUUCCCUAUAUAGUGCACUACUUUUGACCAGGGCCCUAUCAAAAGUAGGGUUUGGCCAAAAGUAGUGCACUAUAUAUACGGAAUAGGGUACCAUUUUGGAUGUAGCCCGUGUAAUACCUGUCAUUGUGCGGACGCUUGGCUUCCUCCUCGCUACCACUUCAGAGGUUCAGCCAGGAAGACUGUCUUUGGGCAUUGCUUGAAGAAAACAUCCAUGAAAAUGACUGUAAACAUUUCAAACAUCUGUGAAAUGGAUGUAUGUUCAGGGGAGAUGUGCUGUAGGUAGGUGUAGGGAGAUGAUGUCAUUAUGUUAUUGGUCUUGGGUUACUAAAUGAAUGGCAUUGAUAACCAAAGGCACAUUGUAUUCAACCUCAGGGCACAAUUCCUCCCGACUAUCAAUCCACAAAACAACUACAAUAAAAAGUCAAGAGAACGUUGUGAUCCGGCCCCCUGUCCUGCCCCACCGAUGUUCUCCAAUCAGCAGGUGGCAGUGGGUUCCAAAGGGGGCGGGGCUACUGAGCAGUGUGCAGCUGGCCCUGGCAGGCACUGAACCAAUCAUCAGCGGGGCAGGUGAGGCGACGCCCACUGGGGCGCCAUUGGCCGGGCUCUACUCCCUGACCUGAUGAGGUCACCGGGUCAUCCAUCCAAUCCCCAGCCAGCCACACCUGUUCUGUAGAGUAGAAGUAGUGAGCUCCAAUCAAACAGAGACUUCUCCUCUGUGUCCUGGAGCCUCCAAGUAUCCACACAGUGACAGUCUGAUAGGAUCCCAUAGUGUAGUGCUGUUGUGUAUUAGGUCAUAAGUCACUCCGUGGUUACCGACCGACCAACUGACCGACCGACCGACCGACCAAACAACAACACAACAUUCUGUUCUAUUCAGCCCUAAGUUCAGUUUAAUAUCUUUUACACUGCCUCUUUCAUUUGACAAUUUUUUUUAAAUGUGAAAUAAAUAAGUAAAACUUUGACAAAGCUUUAAUGAAUUCCCAGUCUGAUUAUGGUGAACUAAUAAAACCUUUGUCAAAUACUUUAGAAAAUGUGAAGGUUCAACACAUUUGGGGAAAUGUUUAUUACUAGGUUUAGGAAUCUGUUUUAAAGGUUGAAUUCCACAUAAAGUAAGGGGGGGUAUGUGAACACUAUUUUGGCUGUGCAAGGGAACAAGCGUUUUAGGAAUUUACACUCUGGCCAGAGACACGUAUUGGUUCACUACUGAAAAUAUUGAAGAAAGGAUGAAAUGAAAAUGAAACUCCUACUCUACAGUAGCAACAGUCAACAUGGUAUAAGCUAAGCAAUUCAAAAAGCUACAUGAAUCCACCUUGAGUCCUGAUUCAUCAGAGUGCUUUAUAACCACAUGUUAUUACACUCACUGCCUUUCACUACAACCUGGAGUACUACUGAGACAACCCAGGCUCUGAAGAACACCUUCUAUUCAGUAUUACUGAGACAACCCAGGCUCUGAAGAACACCUUCUAUUCAGUAUUACUGAGAUAACCCAGGCUCUG
rnacentral:lncRNA from 1 species